AACCAAGUGAGUUGUCACUGGAAGG
rnacentral:miRNA from 1 species